rnacentral:rRNA from 1 species
UACCGGGUCCGGACACACUGAGGAUUGACAGACAAAUACACAUACUACGGUGUGUGCAUGAAAUAUGCUAGUUCUUUCAUGAUUAUGUGAUAGGUGGUGCAUGGCCGUUCUUAGUUCGUGGAGUGAUCUGUCUGCUUAAUUGCGUUUCACUAAAGGCACAUACACAUAAUAUUGUUGUGUUGUGUAUAAUUUAUAAUUAUAUCGCAUACACACAUAUUAUAUUGUGCUUUGAAAGCAACGAACGUGACCGCAACCUCUUGUUGCCUGUAUAUAUGUGUAUUUUAUACACACCACAGGCUAUUAUAAACUAGAGGGACCGCUGUUACUUUCUUUUAAACCAGAGGAAGGUUGCGGCAAUAACAGGUCUGUGAUGCCCUUAGAUGUUCCGGGCUGCACACGUGCUACAAUGAUCAUUGCAGUGCGCAUCUCAUUUUGUUAUACACUGCUUGUGCGUAUGUGCACCAUAUAUUUAUAUGUGUGUGUAUGUAUUGCACGCAGUAAAGCCUACUUCGAAAGUUGUGGGUAAUCAAUUUGAAGUAAUGAUUUCUCCAAAUAUAUACUGCACACUCAUAUACAGUGUCUUAUGUCCAUGAAAGUAUUUUAUAUUUUUGUGUGUGCAUUCGAUGCUCGUAUGUGCAAUUGUCAAUUCAUGGUGGGGACAGACCAUUGUUAAUUGUUGGUCUCGGUCUUAACUAGGAAUGCCUUGUACGGGUCUUUGGUUCAACAAACCACCCGGAAUACGUCCCUGCCCUUUGUACACACCGCCCGUCGCUCUUACCGAUGGACUUCUCUGUGAGUUUGAGGGACUGGAUUUUAUAUCUAUGGAAACUCAAACGAACAGUGUGGUCUAAAGGAAAGAGAAG